rnacentral:rRNA from 1 species
GACGAACGCUGGCGGCGUGCUUAACACAUGCAAGUCGAACGGAAAGGCCUCUUUCGGGGGGUACUCGAGUGGCGAACGGGUGAGUAAGUCGUGAGUAGCCUGCCUAUGACUUUGGGAUAACUUCAGUAAACUGGGGCUAAUACCGGAUAGAAGCUCCUGCUACCUGGUGGGGGCUGGAGAGAUUCGGGGUGUUGGGGUUGGUUGGCGGCGUAUCCGCUCGUUUGUGGGGUGUUGGAUUACCAACGUUUUACCGGGUAGACGGACCGAGGGGGUGACCGGCCGUCCUGGGACUGAGAGACGGCCCCGACUCCUACGGGAGGCAGAAGUGGGGAAGAUUGAACAAUGGGUGGAAGCCUGAUGCAGAAACGCCGUGUGCGGGAUGACGGCCUUAGGGGUGUAGACCGCAUUCGCUCGUGACGAAGCUUUGUGUGACGGUAGUGGGUAAAGAAGCACCGGCUAACUACGUG